rnacentral:rRNA from 1 species
CAGCCGCCGCGGGAACACGUAGGGUGCGAGCGUUGUCCGGAAUUAUUGGGCGUAAAGGGCUCGCAGGCGGUUUCUUAAGUCUGAUGUGAAAGCCCCCGGCUCAACCGGGGAGGGUCAUUGGAAACUGGGAAACUUGAGUGCAGAGGAGGAGAGUGGAAUUCCACGUGUAGCGGUGAAAUGCGUAGAGAUGUGGAGGAACACCAGUGGCGAAGGCGACUCUCUGGUCUGUAACUGACGCUGAGGAGCGAAAGCGUGGGGAGCGAACAGGAUUAGAUACCCCCGUAGUCCCUGUCUCUUAUAC